AAAAAAAAAUAAAUGAACCAAUCGCGGGCUGCCACAUGUUGGUGGGGUCCGCAAACAGUGCAAAAACUGUUUCAAGAUCGAUCCAUAUUUCAUGACUUUAGGAACCGUUUUUUUUUUAAAGUGGGGCCCACAUAUUAAUUUUCUGCGGAAACCAAUUUAGGAAACCAUGAUAUCCAUAGCCCUUAUGUGCUCAGGAAAAGAAAAUGUCUCAUCCGUGGAUAUUUUGCAUUUGCAAAUAUUAUUAAAUAAACUAAAACAAAAUACUUUGCAUGUAUAUGUAAAAUCAACACACGCUGAAAAAUAAAAUGACCAGACCUAUAAUAAAACUAACUUUUCUCUAUAACAAAAGGAGUCGCUUGUGACAUAGGGUCACUUCAAGUUUUUAAUUGGCCAAGUGGGUCGCUGCAAAUUUUUAUUGUCGAAACGGGCCGCUAGGGGGGAGAGAAAUAAAUCGGUGACGAAUUUGGUCUUUUGACCCAUAAACUUAUAGAUUCUGACUCGACAACUUGUGAAAUGUGGAAGCAAAAAUGACCCAAAGAGUUAAACUCUAAAACUUGUUUAUACAGACAAAGCUGAAAUCUGACUCUGCUGGGUGGAAUUAGACUCGCAAACUCCAUUCUUGACCUGACAAUCUCUGUAUUUUGCAAAGUAAGAGUCUCGAGUCCCAGUUGAUUUAAAACUCGAAUAUUGUGAAGAAAUCUCACCAAAUCGAUUGUAAAGAAAUCCCAGUCCUAGUACAGCAGACUCAUCUCCAAACCGGAACUUGACAGAGCUCAUGCUGGACCGGAGCUUGAACAAACCAGAGCUUUACCAAACCAGGCUUUACCGAAGAACCGGAGCUUUACUGAGCUUAUGCCGGUAUACGAGAGCGACAACAACCGGACCACGAUCUCCUGUAAGCCUACUACACAAAGCUCCACUCGUCGUCUUGUUCUCCGGCCAGUGCACCGGAAAUUGAAGUCGUCGUCAUCUCCAAGCUUGGAUCCAAUCUGGAACCAGUUUAGUCCUUAUUGCAAUUUAAGUCCCUUGGAUGUUGAUUUAUUACAAUUUGGCUCAAUAACUUUCAGAUUUGCAACCCUUAUUAUGUUAAUUUGUUUUUAUAAAAACAAUUGAAGUCUUCGUCGUCGUUUCUUAUGUCGACUU